UACGGGAGGCAGCAGUGGGGAAUCUUCCGCAAUGGACGAAAGUCUGACGGAGCAACGCCGCGUGAGUGAAGAAGGUUUUCGGAUUGUAAAGCUCUGUCUUCGGGGAAGAACGCAGUGCAGGUAAAUAAUCUGUGCUGGUGACGGUACCUGAGGAGGAAGCCACGGCUAACUACGUGCCAGCAGCCGCGGUAAUACGUAGGGGGCAAGCGUUAUCCGGAUUUACUGGGUGUAAAGGGAGCGUAGGUGGUAUGGUAAGUCAGGUGUGAAAGCCCGGGGCUCAACUCCGGGAUUGCAUUUGAAACUACCAGACUAGAGUGCAGGAGAGGUAAGUGGAAUUCCUAGUGUAGCGGUGAAAUGCGUAGAUAUUAGGAGGAACACCAGUGGCGAAGGCGGCCUGCUGGACGACAACUGACGCUGAGGCGCGAAAGCGUGGGGAGCAAACAGGAUUAGAUACCCUGGUAGUCCACGCUGUAAACGAUGAAUACUAGGUGUCGGGGGUCAUAAGACCUUCGGUGCCGCAGCUAACGCAAUAAGUAUUCCACCUGGGGAGUACGUUCGCAAGAAUGAAACUCAAAGGAAUUGACGG
rnacentral:rRNA from 1 species